GCCCAGCAGGCUGGUCCAUACUGGCUUGGGCUGGACAGAGCUGAAGCCCACGUGGUGCCUGGCCUUGGUUAACCGAGAGAACAAAGUGGAAGAGACGCUGUGGUAGUCAGUUUCUAGGCAUGGAUCUUAAGAAACUGACAACUUCUAUGUCCUAUCUCUUGGGCUGCUCAUGCUCCCAGCCACUCUGCUGUGAGGAAGACCACGUGGUCACACAUAGAGGCCGUAUGCCAGGGUCCUGCUCACAGCCCAGCCUUGCACAUGAGUGGGCCGUCUUGGGCUGGCCCAACAGCCACCACGCACGCAGAGCAGGCGGUUCUUCUCACCGGGCCCUGCCCAACCUGUAGAUUCCGCAUCAAACAAUAAUUGGCUUUAAACAAAC
rnacentral:lncRNA from 10 species